AAAUAAGAAGCAAAAAAUUUGCAAUUAGUUUCGACCUAAUAGAUUGGCUUAUAGCCCUUAUUUA
rnacentral:tRNA from 1 species